UAAGGAGGAGGUGAGGGAGUAUAAAGAAAAGGGAGGAUACUCAGCGUAAGGGUUAAACAGAAAGCGGAUGUGAAAUCGGAAAGAAUUGAAAUUAAUGAAGAAGAAAUAACACUCUCUACUGUGGAGGAUACAUGUAUUGUAUAUAUAAAGGAAGAGGAUGUCAAGAAUUUAAAUACUGGAUUGAAGGUGAAUUAUUAAGCCAGGAAGAGGAUCCUCUGCUGUCUGAGUCAAGGAGGAAAAAGAGAAAACCCCGAUAUUUGAUCCUGAGUAAUGAAGAAGAGACUCUUAAUGACAGAAUGGCCGGAAACUGGAAGGAGGAAAUAAAGAUGGAAAAUAUUGAGAUUAAAGAAGAGAUUCAGGAAGAAAUCUUUCAAUUCUCUAGUGUAGAGGAUACAUGCAUUGUUUAUACAAAGGAGGAAGAUGAAAAUUAUUGGAAUUCAAGGAGUUGUGUGUUCACAUCGAUGAAGUUAACAUUUCUCCAACCUCAGGUGGUUAAAAUAGACAAUGAGGGGACACUUCUUGAAUUCGUAAUCUUUGCUGAAGUUUUUGAACUUUUCUUUUUCCUCUCGCCCAUCUUUACUUUAGUAUUCUAUUUAUGUAUAUUCAGCUGAGAGUUUCUAUGUGCAACAAUUAUUUUAUAUGAUUUGUGGAUUUUCUUGCCAAGUUUCGCGGACUUUUUAAGUUGAUCUUAAUUCUUAUAUUUUAAUCAUUCCAUCCCAUAAGCAGCAUGAUCUCUAGCAUCACCUCUUCAAGUCAGCAUAAUUGCUUGAACUGACUCUCCAGUGUGGGGCUGCAUUUUAAGCACCCCCUGGCUAUCAAUGCCCCCUGUCUCAAGUUUUAUAAAUAUAUUUAAAAAUAUAUUUUUUUUCUAUAUGUACAUGCUUGAGACCAAUAUAUAUGUUUGAUUUGAUUUGAUUUGAUGAUUGAUUUGAUGAUUUUAGUAAAUUCUAAAAUGACAAUUUUCAGAAAGAAUGGCUGGAAUUAUAAAGGAGGAAAUGGAAAUUGAAAAUAUUGAGAUUAAAGAAGAGAUUCCAGAAGAUAUCCUUCCAUCCCCUUCUGAAGCGGAAACAUGCAAAGUUUAUAUAAAGGAGGAAGAUGUCAAGGUGGAAAAUACUGAAACUAAAGGUGAAAUAGUUCUCAAUGAAGAGGAUCCUCUGCUGGUUGGAUCAAAGAUAACCAAAAAGAGGAACUAGAAGGAGUAAGAUAUCCAUGU